UACGUAGGGUGCGAGCGUUGUCCGGAAUUAUUGGGCGUAAAGAGCUUGUAGGCGGUUUGUCGCGUCUGCUGUGAAAAUCCGGGGCUCAACCCCGGACUUGCAGUGGGUACGGGCAGACUAGAGUGUGGUAGGGGAGACUGGAAUUCCUGGUGUAGCGGUGAAAUGCGCAGAUAUCAGGGGAACACCGAUGGCGAAGGCAGGUCGCUGGGACGGUACUGACGCUGAGGCGCGAAAGCGUGGGGAGCAAACAGG
rnacentral:rRNA from 1 species